UACGUAGGGUGCAAGCGUUGUCCGGAAUUAUUGGGCGUAAAGAGCUCGUAGGCGGUUUGGUAAGUCGGAUGUGAAAUCUCCAGGCUCAACCUGGAGGGGUCAUUCGAGACUGCUAUGACUAGAGUUCGGUAGAGGAGUGUGGAAUUCCUGGUGGAGCGGUGAAAUGCGCAGAUAUCGGGAGGAACACCAAUGGCGAAGGCAGCUCGCUGGGACGGUACUGACGCUGAGGCGCGAAAGCGUGGGGAGCAAACAGG
rnacentral:rRNA from 1 species